rnacentral:misc_RNA from 1 species
UUGAAUUUAAUGUAAGAGUUUGGUUGUAGCUGGCCUAAUUAUAUUUGGGCAUGUGCACACCUUCCCCUUUCAUCCACACACACCUGUGCACCUGUGAGACAGAGAUGGGGAAUUUACUGGCUUUUGAAUAAAGGCAAUAGGUUAUUGGACCCCCCUCUGUCUACUUAAUUCACUACUAAACUCUAAUUUAUUAUAAAACGAAUGUAAUGGAUGUAACACAUCUAAUAC